CAAUGAUUCCAACCAAUCCCCUGUUCUCUGCUUUGAAUCAGUCCCAUUGCUCUGUUUCUUCAACAGGGACGCCGUGUAAUUCGAAACCACGCCCUUCUCUGCAACACCUUUAUCUUCCUUCCCAGAACCACUCUUCUCUGUUGGAGGCGAUUUCACCCCACUCUUCUCCGCGACGCCUUUAUCCUUCGUCUCAGAACCAUUCUUCUCUGUAGGAGGCGAUUUCACCGUCGAAUUCGACGCUACUCUCUUCUCCGCGACGCCUUUAUCCUUCGUCUCAGAACCACUCUUCUCUGUAGAAGGUGAUUUCGCCGUGGAAUUCGAAGCCACACCUUUAUCGUCCUUCCCAGAGCCACCCUUCUCUGAAGGAGGCGAUUUCACCGAGGAAAUCGCACUCUGAUUGGCCGAAACCAGAGGUUUCGGAGGGGCAAUUGCAGUCCGAUUUGGCGUCAAAGCUUCAACCUUUGUCUCAUUCUUCGCACCGGACGGAUCUUUACUCUUCUGAGGUGAUUGAAACGUGGCAGCAUCAUUGGAUCUGGUGGCGUUGGUCCCAGUUGUGGGCGUGGGAACCGAAGUAAAGUUGUGAACUUGCUCCUGAGAUGAAUUCGGAAACCAGAAAGAAAAGAAAGAAGAAAAUUGAGAUCUGUAGGAGUCAUCGGAGGUAGAAGACGACCCUGAACCAGUACCAGUCGCAAAGAUAUUGGUGAACCAAGGUGAAGAAGCGUUUGCAGGACUGAAAGCUAAGAAAACAGUGAAAACAAUGAAAGCAAACAUGAACCCAUAUACAAAAAACAUGGUUCUUCGCGUUCUCGCCAUGGAAAACAGACUGGUAAAGUCUGAAAACAGUGCUCCCCCACCAAGUGGGAGAUGCUUUGUUCCAUCAGCCAUCUCCGGACUAUCAACAGAAAGGAGAAUAUGGAAGAUGACACUGGUUUUAUAGAGAGAAACUGAAGAAAAAUAAGUGGGGGGUUUUAGAAAGAAAGAGGAACUUGAGUGCUGCGAGGACUGCACUUAGUGGCCGAAGACGAUUGUCAAAUAGGAAAGCACAAGUUUUCUGUACCUGUUAUUCUCUAUUUUUACCAAAAUACCCCUUCUUCUUCACUUAACUAGGAAACUGCCACCGCCGUCCAUAUCAUGUGACAAUGGCAGUGGGUUUUCAAAGCCUCACCACAUUACGUCCCUCAAAUUAUGUGCCACCUUCGCUUGACACGUGUAAGUUGUAACAAACUUUUAUUAUUAAGAUUCCUAAUUUAUCUUAAGAAGCAUUAUCACCUACUUAAAAAUAAAUUAAUUGAACUGCACGUCACUUAAUAUCAUCCCAAUCCUAUGGCAUUGGGACAUGGCAAGGUAAUAUAUAUAAAUUUAGUAUAAAUAAAUAAAUUAAUUAAAAUAUAUAUGAAAAAACAGUACCGUCUUUUUAAAAAAAUCAAUGAAAACUCAACCGUAUUUAAACGUUGCAGAUCGAAAUUUAAGGGUUAACUAUUAUAUUUUAAUAUCCAGGCGUAUCUUGAAAAUACUACAGAUAAUAAUAUUCGGAUUCUGUUAGAAACUUUGAUAAAAAAAACAGUGGCGUUGAGUGGCAGAAAGUGCAAAAUCGAAGAUUUGCCAGGGGCAAUGCCAAAACCAAUCAAUUCACUUUUCUUAGGUUGUUUUAACGGUAUAUUUCACACUAGUUAAUUGAGGCUCCGUGUGGGACCGUAUGCGGCAACACUCCAAUAUUUUUCACCGUACACCCAUAGUACGCGUAAAAGGUCCGUUACAGGGGUGAUGUUGUACCUGAAGGGAUGGACGGCUGAGAUCGAAGGAGGACCCACUUUUAAACAGUGCCAGCUGUGACGGGCCCAUAAGAGACAUAUGCCGCUCGUGAGGCAACGGCGGUCCAUCCAACCAAUGAUGUGCUUGGAUUCACCGCCAGGUGUCGUCGCAUUAUACGCACCGGCUCAUUUUGCAGUGUGGGACCAAUGCCAAGUGCAGUCCUUUGUUGUUUUCUACGAAAAAUACUUAUUUUCCGGCGUUGCUUUAGCCUUACAUGAGUUUAUCCUAAUAAGAAAAAAAAAAAAAAAGAUAUGUUAUAAAAUAAGUAAUCAUUAUAAUUUUUUACAAAAGAAAAUAACAUACAAUUUAAUAACAUUUAAAUGUUUACAGAAAUUGUUAUUACAUUUUAAAAAUAAUUUUUUAAUGAUAUAUUAAAACUAAAUUAAAUCAUAUUCAAAGAAAAUUAAUCAAAACCUUAAAAUAAAGAGAAAAAAAAAAAAGGAAAGAAGGAAUUAGACAUUAUUCACACAAAUAAUAAUAAGAUAAUAAUUUCAUGCAAAACCUAAAAGAAUGGAAAGAUAAAUAUAAGUCACAUAAUAUUUUGAAUUUUUAAAAAGCCAUAUAAAAUUUUGCUGAGAUCCAUGUUAAUAAAGUGUUCUUAAAUUAUAGUUCAUAGGAAGGCGUUUGUUAGGGUUAAAUACCGUUUAACAAAUUUAGAUAAUGUUUAUUUUUUGGUUGAAUGAAAAUAAUUUUUAAAUUUUUUUUAUUUUUUUAAAAAUAAUUUAUUAAUAUCAAUAAACAUAAUUAAAAUAAACUUCUUAUCAAUAAAUAAAUUUUAACUAAAUAUAAAAAUUCAAUCCCUCAAAAAAAACAAUACAAACAUAAUUUCAACAACAGCUCUAUCAAAAUAUUUGAAUGAUUCGUACGAUCCUUCGACCACUGCGCUGGACUUAUUUUGCGUACGUGUCGAAUCCAAAAAUCUGAGACUCAUUGUGUCGGUGAUGUAUGUAGUUGUAUAUAACCCAAUUAUUUAUGUCACUAAAUCCAUAUGGCAUGUGGGUGUGCCAGUUUAAAUGCACGGAGUUUGCGUCCUUCCCUGUUUAAAUGGCACGUGCCAAACAAGAAAAUUAACGGAAGAAAAAUUGAGAAGUUUUAACAUCUAGUUUAGGCAAGUAUCAAUUAAUAUACUAAAUCCUCGUUUUGUACAGAAAAGGAAUUGUUUGGAAUUCCCUUUAGCCGUCCAGAAUUUGUAUUUUAUUAAAAUAAGAGUAAUUUAACAUUUUUAUAUGAAUAAAAAUAUUCUUUUAAUAUAGUAUUAAAAAGAAAAUGUUUAAAUCUCCAUGUUUUUUCAAGUUGUAACUAAAUUAUAUCGAGAAGUAUAGGGCUUAAAUUCGAGAUCAAAUUUCAGCACCCAUUUACAUUGCAUUUGAUCUCUAAAUAUUUCUUUUAAUAUUUAAAAAAAUAUUUUAUAAAAUAAUUUUAAGGUUACUAUUUAGAGUUUAAUAAACUAAAUAUAAAUUUUUACUACAACCAAUUUCAUCCUGAUUUGUUGGUCUAUCUCACAAAAACAUGAAGUUUUUUUUUUUAAAAUAACCAAAGUAAAAGAGAUGAAAAUUUUUAAAUACUUAAAUCAUUUUAUUGCUAGAUGCCUUGACAUAUCUUGCAAGUAUGGUUCUGCAAUUUUAGUGAAAAUUGUAGGGAUCACUCCAGACGCCGACAUGGCACAUCAACUCUCUAUCCGGAUCCUUUAGGGGGGCAUAUGGCACUCUCAAAUCAGCUACUCGGACGAUUUUCUCCCUUGUCCGGAUAUGUUGUCUGGAACUAGGAAGCCUUGGCCGUAAAACGUGGGUCAUACUGAAUCACUUCAGACAGUCUGUUACAGCUCGCAUUCCGCCGCCUGUAGAGCGAUGAUGACUCUGCCACCGCCUCAGCACCAUCAUGACAAGCCAAAAAGUUUUCCCACCAUUAAAGAGGAUAAAGUUUCUGACACUAUAAAAGGGCUCUCAUGCGAAGAGGGAAGUAAGCUUUUUUGACUCAGCAAAAAGAAGCAGAUUGAUCAUUAGAGCGAUGACUAACAAAACCAUCGGAGGGUGUAUCCGAACAUCUUGUUCGGACAUCUUUUGCAAGUUGACUAAAGCAGGAAUCAUCUUCAGUUGAGAGGGAACGUCCAUAUAACGACCACGAGGACCUCGAUGACGCAAGACUUUAACAGCCCAGAUGGUACUAAGAGGGCAACCAAAAAGACCUUAGUCUUAAAUUCGAAUCAUAGGGAGGCCACUCUGGGUCGCUUUGGCAUCAGAGCCAAAAAUCGCGGGCUCCGCAUUGGCUCAAGCCUAGGCACCAAGAUGCAAAUGCACAACAAAAAUGAGAUUAUUAUUUAAAUAAGAAGAAAUAAUAAAAAUACUAGAACACAUAAUUACCUUUAAAGGUGAAAACAAUUAGACAAAAUAUUUAAAAAAAAAUUAUUUAAAAUUUUUUGGGAAAACUCCGGGAAGAGGAAUUUGACUUUGUGAAACAAAAAUAGUCAAAGGCCGGACAAAAAGCACCUCAGAAAAGAGAAAGAGAAGGAGCUCAGCAACAACACAAGUAGGGCUUUUCCAAAAGCUGUUCCGUUCUCUUUUGGCAUAGCUAAAAUGAAGGAUCAUCCACAGCUGCUCUGAAGACGGUACACAAACUAACUUCACAAAUCUCUCAUUAAUUGUUCUAAAAAAUUAAAGGCAAUUUAUUGAGUGAGUUAAGAUAGCGAAAUAACCAAAUUAUAAAAACAGCCACAGCCACUCUACAUAUAGGCACUGAAUCUAAAGAGGAUGGGGUCUUUAGAUAUAUAUAUAUAUAUAUUUUUUUUUUUUUCCCACCCCUCAUGGGCAGGAGUUCACAAGUCCAGCAACUGCUAUCUAUACUUCCACCUUGAAGUCAUGCAUUUAUGAAAUAUUCCCGUGGAACAAAUAUUUGGGAAUCAUUUGAAUUUAUUGACCUGCUGUGAUUUUUUUUUUUUUUUUUUUCUGUUUGUCAAGGAUAUAUAUCACAAAAAGUUUGCAGAUGUGUUCUCCACAUUCCCAUGCCUAAUAAUUCACGGGAAGCCCAGACCACUUUUCCACUUUCUACAUUAUUGAAAGGUCAGUGACUGAUAUGAAAGGCGAUAGCGUAGCGUAUUAAUUUAAAUUUUGAUUAUAGGAAUGGCUAAUGCGUGAUAUAAUUCUAAACUUUGACGCUGCUAGAGGGGAAUUCGAAAUGUUCCGUCAGAUUCCCCACCAAGGAAAACACAAUGCGAGAUGUGAAAAUGACAGGAGGAAAAAUGGGUCCGCUUCCAUUCAAGUCUCAUCCAACCCAUUCAACCACUUUUUUUUUUUUUUUUUUUCCCAUUUUUCUCCACCGACUCCUCAUACUCUUGACAAUUGCACCAACCCAUUUAAAGGCGGCCUUUGCUACGGACAAAUGGGAGACUCUUGAAACCGUGUCGUUCACUUUCGAUAGCCUUUCGGUUUUUUAGGCAUUUUAUCAAAAACUCACACAGCUCUAUAUGCAUGAUCCAUCUGACUUACCUUGCCCUUGCCAUGUGAGCCACCUUGCAAUUGCAUCAAGUUUUUUGCAGCAUGGAAACAUCGCCUUCACUGUUAAGUGGCGCCAGUCUGGGUUCCUCCCACUUGUGCUCCUGACUAACCCCAAACUACAAAAUCAAAAUUACAUCGGCAUUGGUUUGCCGUUAAGCAUGGUUUUCCACUUAUAUUUGAAUCAAAACCAUAUUUGAAUGUAUCAACGUUGUUUCGAACAGAAAUGUCAGAGAUUGACCCACGACUUUGGGCCUAAUUCAGAAGAACUGCUGUCCAAGGGCGGAUUUAUGCAAAUUUGAAAAUUCGCGCAGCCAAGUGAAGACGAGGUUCAAAAUCAGAAUUGUAUGGGGCAUAAAAUUUCUGAAAAUAUGAUUCUCGGCGUUAUAUCUAUGUCCCUAGUCUUUUGGUCCUUUCAAAAAUUUUGUAGCAUUCCCAAAAAGACUGGUAAUAUUUGUCAUCCCAAUUUGUGACAAUGCAGGCAAUCAGAGGAAAUUGAAAAUGAUUAAUAGGGUGCAACAAAGCUAUUUCUAGGACAUGAGGAGAGAGAGACAGAUUUGGGCUCUCUAUAUUUGUAUGGAGCACAGGAGAAGUAUAGGGGAUAAGGAAAUGGGGUGUCCCAAUUCCUGAGAAUUCUAAAGCCAUUUAAGAAGGCUUGAGUGACAAUUCAACCACUGGUAGAUGGGCAUUUAAUUAGAGUCAUCUUUCUUAAGAUUAUUAUAGUCCAUAUGGAUGCACUAGUGUUUGUGAGAGAGUGGGGCAUGAUGUAAAAGCAAAGUAGGUAUGGACCAUUGCCAUAGAAAUGAAGCUGCCGAAGGAUUCCGAAAGAGCCAAUUAAAGUUGGUGGGCUUUUGACAUUUCGGAAGGCCAUUCUGUAUCUUAGGCUAUUUAUGAAAUGCCCACUUGAAAGGGUGCUGUCCAAGUAAAUCUUUUGCAAAAAAAAAAUUCUUCAAUUCUCCCUCUGUUCAAAUUGUUUGAAAAUUCAAAAUUGAAGAAAACAAAACAGUCAUACUUAUUAUGUCAUUUAUUAAGUAGGUAGAGGACAACACAUGCAAGUUUUGCAGAUCGAGAGAAGACUACAAAUUGACAAAAGAACCCUCACUUGAAUUUUAUAUAUCUAUAUAUGUGGUUAUUUAUUUAUAUUUAUUUGGGAACUUGUACAGAAAUACUAGUAAGGAGCAAUUGAAGAGAAUCAUUUUUCAAGACAAGACGAGGGUAGUCGAAUCAUUUACUUGUUGUAGAGCAUUACAGAGAUUAUCAUUGUCGUUUCAACUUUUCCCAAAUUUACAAGUAGUUUAGUUUAGCAAUUUAUAACAUCAAAAGUACAAAUGAAGAUCAACAAAACAAUGAAUAUAAAGCAGAAAAAAAACCAAAUAGGACAAAGGAUCCAACGUACCAUAUCAUUGGGACAGCAAGACCUUUUUCCCUGACGAGCAAAAGGGAGUGUAUAUCAGGAUAGCCAGCUGGCCAUUCGCCUUUAAGCUACCUGAGAUCCAAAAUGUAUGUGAGAAGAAAUUAGAAUUGCAACUUUAAGAUGGGCUCAAGCCCAGUCCCAUCUUAACCAUUACCCAUGUGUCACCUAAGUAUAAAAGUUCAUAGGUCUAGGUUCAGAGAGAGAGAAAAAAAAAGAAAAAAAAGAACAUCUCAAUAGGUAAAGAAAAAGAUGGAUCACAUGAAGCAUCCCAAAGGGUAUCAGCUUAUCCCCACCAACCACAGUUAAUCAAUUACAUAAUAGUCACGACAGAAGAUGCAUGCCAUGAAUUAUAGAAACAUGGGUUUAUGGCCAUCAUACUGCCUUUUGCUUUUCAGGCUAUAAGAAAACCUGACCACAAAUUUUAAUAUCCAAGGUGGUUUAAAAACCAGCCACACCAUCAUUUUGGAUGUUCCAAAAAGAUGUGAUGCCAACCUCAUUCGACACUGGUCUUUGAUACUUCUCUAUGGCAACCACAUCAGGUAGUUAUAAAGAUCUGAAAUGAAAGUACCCCAGUAGAUGGUUAGGAUAUAUCACAGCCAAAUAUAGAAUUCACUACAUGAAACAAAUGGUUCAAUUAACACACUAUUUCGAUUCACUGGUAUGCAGAUUCAAUCUAGACUCAAAUCACCGGUAAUAGAUUUUCAUUGAGAGCAAAAGAAAAGGAUAGAACGUAAAUUUAAUUUGGUAAGCAAGAACUUUCUUUUUCAGAGAACAUUCUUCUACACCAGCAGCACAAUUGUUUAAUAAUCGAGUGAGCAAAUCACUCCACCAAUCUCUAACUGUGAUUGGGACAUGUUUGCUGGUUUUAGUCUUUGACCUUAACUUUAGUCAAAGAAGUAAACUGGAGGCUUUUCCCCACCUAUGAUGAAGCUUCUUUUUGUCAAAUCAUAUCUUAAUAUGGUUUAAACAUAAAGUUCACAUACUCUUUUAAAAGAUGAGCUGAAAACCCGGCUUCCCUAUAACAGAAUUUUGAAAAUAAAGUACCCCAAAAUGGAAUGUCGAAUUACCUUGAAUAUGGGAAUUAAAGGGAGGGUUUGGUUGCAAUAAUGACCCUAUCCAAAAAAUACCAGGGUGGGACAAGUAGUGUAUUCAGUAUUCACAUACAGUGAAAUAUAGGAAAUGCAAAAGCAAACCUUUUGCACGGGUAAUGGGAAGAAUUGCCUUUACAAAAAGGAAAUCAUUCCAGUGUAAUUUGUACCAAUAGCUACAAGAAAAGGGCAAUGGUCAAUUCAAGCGGCAUUUGCCUCAUUCGGUGUGUUCUACUUAAACUGUUCUAUAAGCAUAAAUAACAACCAAAGUGACAAUAAAAACAAGGAUUUUUCUGAAAUUUGAAAAGCUUAAUUGCGAUUGUGAAGAACACCAAUUGUGAAUAUUACAAAUUUCCCAAACCCUAACUCUACUUUCCAUCUGCAGCACUUGCAUUCAAACAAGUACAUUUUCAGGGUAGAAAAAUAAAAUAUGUAAUCUUAGAAACCUCUAGCUAACUUUGUGUAUUAAGACAUGUAAGUCUGUUUUCCAAGACAGAAUGAUAGGAUUUAGUUGCAUUCCAUGCAAAAUAUCUCUCUCAUCCUUAAUUCUCAUUAAAGUCAAAGGUUUUGGGAAAAAAUUUAUUUAGAAAUUAUACGUACUUUAUGUUAAUAUAUCUACUCAUCCACCAUCUCUCCAGCAAAGGAUCCACAACUUCUGAAAAGGAGCAGGAUCCAGUAUCAAAAAUAUUUGAAGGUGACAAGUGAACAGAACCAAACAAUAUUUGCAAAUUCCAUUCCAUAUAUGAAGAAUGGUUUUGAAUAUAGAUUUUUAGAAUGGGCAAAGAGGAUCUUUUCUGGUAUUUUCCUCACUAGAUUGGAUCUAACUAGGAUUAUUGUUUGUCUAGAAUUGCUAAAGUUUCUUUACUGUCUUCUGCAGAUAUCCAGCAGGUCUCAAUGGUGCUAUCUACAUUUAUUUCCCUCAAAAAUCUGGUUCCAAUAUCCAGUGAGAAUAUUUAACUAUGUAGGGCCAGAUUGUUCCAGCGGCUAAAGCCACAAAUAAUGGGACAUCUGGAUGGUAUUUCGCCACACAAUCAUGAUUUAUAAACUUCUUCAACUUCUUAAAAGCCAUCUCCUAUUGGAGAAACCUUUGAAUACAAGCAUGGAGUGGUACGCCACCAAUCAGUUGUUGCUUCUAAAAAUAUCCUAAACACACUCUCUGGAUUCUCUCUUUUAACCUCAAUUCGGGCAGGUUAUGGUGCCACUUAUUCUAUUAUGGAUGAAAAAUAAUCUUUACUAACUUGGGCUCUUUAUUAUUCCAUUUCUUAUAUCUUUCUUGACGAUGGCUCCAACUAAUUAUUCCCAUGGGUGCUGCAUUGGUUGUGACAUCUCAUAAAGGAAUAUGCUUUUUAUUUCUCAGUUCAUUGAUCAAACUCAUCGUAUCUGUCUACACCUCUUUGAGUUUAGUUUAAAGUGUCUUCGCUCUAACAAACUCUUCCCUAAUGAAAACCAUUGAUGCAAUGGAUGAUAUCUACCAUCUAUAGAGUGGUACACAUAAUACUUGCACCACCAGAGCCUCCAAGAGUGCUACUAGAACUAAAACAGAAAUAGAGAAGGAAAUAAGAUAAUACUAGAAACACAAGAUUAACAUUAUACUUGCAACAUCCAAACAAUCUACAAACGCCUCCCUUGCUCCCUCCCAAUACACAAAUACACAAGAAAAAAAGGGCCCUUGCAAGUGGAUCUCCCAAAGAAAUAAACCCAAUCAACAGGCUCAUGGACUAAAUGAUUUCUACAUGCUUAUGUCCAGUGUGGAUAAUAUGUUUAUGAGCGAAACAAAAUCAGUAGUGCCUAUUGUAAAGAAAGACCCAAAAAAAAAACUCAAGUCAUAUAGCAAAUAGCACCCAAGCAACAAUUACCAGAAACAGUAAUUCAAGCAUGGUCAUUUCUUAGAUAUAACCAAAAAUGAAAUUUGAGGCUUGGAGCAAAAAAGGCACAACCAAAUAUGGCAGAGCAAUGAUCAUCUAAAUUACCAGCAGGACAUCAUGGAGAAAAGGAUUGCAUCAUGUGAUUCUAGGGGCUCCAAGAAACGUGAUCAUGUAGAUCAUUCCAACAUAAUUGUUAAGGACUAAUCAUAGGAAGUGGAGAUGAAAUGCAGUGGAGUCAGUAAUUUUCAUUCUUUUCUAAUCAAUAGCUCUACAUUUUGACUAUGUUCUAUCAAUUAUUCAAUUAGACCUUGAAUACAUUACUUAGAUCCUCAAAUGCAAGGCUGCUAAUUAAAAAACAUAAACCCCAAUUUAACAAGUGCCUGUCCUAGUUGACAUGAGCAUUUUUUUUCUAUAUCUUUACUAGGAACCAAAUCAACAUGAAAAAUGAGAUCCAGAAUUUAACAAAUUCUCUGUCUUUCACUCAAUUUUCUCAGGAACAAAAUAAAUGAUAAAAGAAUAUUUAGGCAUAUUAGGAGUUACCAUAUAUCAGCUCAAGGAAUUCAAACAAUUGAACAACAUUCAUAACCCUGCGUUCCUAGCUAAAAAUACUUAUUCAUGAAUUUACGAACAAAACUUAUUAUCCUAAGAAAAUUCUCACUUAUAAUUUCAUUCUCAAGUACUGUAUAAAACAAAAAGGCGUGUUAACUGUCACAAUUACCUGACUGUUGGGAUGAGGUUUGAUCUUUAUUACAAACCAAAACAACGUAAGACACGAGAUUCAGAAAUUAAUUUUCCUUAUCCUAACCUCAGUUUCACAGCAAUCAAACAGAAAGUAAAUGGAAUAUUUAUGCAUAUCAGAAACACAACAAAAACAUACAAUCCAAAACAAUAUAAGACACGGGAUUCAGGAAUUAAUUUUCCUUAUCCUAACCUCAGUUUUCACAGCAAUCAAGCAGAAAGUAAAUGUAAUAGUUAUGCAUAUCAGAAACACAACAAAAAUUCAGACAAUCAAAACCUGGAAGUGGUCCUCUUUCACCCGACCGUGAGUAUACAAAUCAAUUUGAAGAUCAACAGGCAAAACAAGAAUAAUUUAAUAAUUUUGAAUAAUAUAAUACUUUUUACCGGUUUCUUGCAUUGUUUUGGCCAUAGAAAACCAAGGCCGCAAGUUAUCCAUUUUCCUGGUAUCCAAACUAUAUAAAGACAAGAACGAAAAUGUUUUCUACUUUUCUUUAAUUCUCUUGCGUUUUCUCGCGAGAUGGUACGAUUAAACAACUUCAAGUUCACCAAACUAAAGACGAAGAAAAGAGAAUAAUUGCAUAAUUAAGAGACACGGGCGUGUUCUAACAUUGCAAUUCAGAAAUUCGAAGGCAAAAAUCUGAAGCCCUCACCUUAAGUCAUGAUGGUUUAUCACAGACUUUACAGAGAGCCGAGCUGAUAGAGAAGGAAGGAGAAUGCGGAGGAGGGAAUCGG
rnacentral:lncRNA from 1 species